AUGAAGAAGCAAAGGCGGCAGUGUGUCUGCAGAAACCUAAUAUUUCAGAGCAUUACCAAGGCCUGGACUGAGGGCAGUGUGCUGCCUCGGGGGCAUUUUCCUCUCAAAGCGCUGUGUGUGAACUGUGGUCCUGCUGUGUCUGCUGUCAAGGCCAAGGCGUCUACAUCAAACUCGUAUCUGGAUGCUGUUCCUGCUGUUUGUAAAGACAGCGCAACUCAGGUCGCCAGUGUUUCUUACCAGACAUGUCCAAGACUCUCAUGAUCUACUGGUUGACUGUGGAGGCAUUUGGUACAGUUGUGGAAAGUUUGACUCCCACAAUUCCUGAGAACACUAUGAAGACUGUGUAUGUCUUUCUGUCAUCUGAAUAUACUACUUCACGUCUCAAGGCACUGUCCAAUCCAAUCUGGUCAGCCUUCAGAUGGCUUGGACUCCACGAUGGCAUUCUAGCAUGCAGCCUCUGAUGGUUAGGAAAGAACAUGUACAUACAGAAUACAAAACUUCCGAGGUUGAAAAGGUUUCCACCCCAAUUUCGGAAGGCCUAGGAGGUCAGGCAGUGUCCUCAAGAGGGCAGUGUGUGAAGCUGUGAGUGUGAAGCCAAAGGUACAGUGGAGACUGCAAAAGCCUAGAAAAUCCAGCAACAUGGGUCAUCUAAGGAAAGCUGCAAGGAGGGAGCAAAGCCAGCCCAAGAGAGAAGCCAUGGGAUCAGUAACCACCAGAAGUGCUGUAGGGGUGGAGUCACCCAAACCCAUUGGAGCUCACAGUUUUCCACAUAUUUCCUCAUGGUGCACAUGGAGCUACAGGACUUAAUGUUUGCCCUGCUGGAUUUGGGACUUGCUUUUGUCUCAAUCAUUUGUACCCUCCUGUAUCUAAUGUUUGGAGUGAAAAUGUUUGUCUUGUGCCAUUGCAUUUUGGAAGUGUUUAACUCUGAUUUCAUUUGUGCAGGUGUAUGCAGCUAAAAGUUUGCCUUUCUUCUUAGACUUUCAACAAUUUUUAUGGUUGAUGCAUUGUGUCAACUUGAGGAGUUUAGAAGUUUAACUGAGAGACUCAUCAGGCAUCCAGGGAUUUUACUUUGUAAAUAUUCUCAUGCUGUGCAAGAGGAGGGCAUGGGAGAUUUUAUGAGUGCUACACCUGCCCUGGGGUGUGAGGGUGGCCUGUUUAUAAUAUGAGGGAGGAGAAGUGGCUUGUUCUUCCUUUUGCUCUGGCGGCAGCCUUGAAGUGUUACCCCAGUGCCGUGACAUCCUGCCUUGGAACCAGCUGAUCACAGACUGAAACCUCCACAAACUGUGAACUAAAUAAACCUUUCCUUCUUUGAUUUGGGUGUUGAGUGUUUUGUCCCAGCAAGGAGAGAAAAGUUACCAAGAUGUACAGAAUGUAUUUCAUAUCUUAAAUAAACUGUUGAGCAUCAAGCAGGAUAUUAAAGCCACAGAAUUUUGUCCAAGAAGUCGUGCCAGAGAACUCAGCAGCCUCAGCUAUCCAGGCCACAGCUGAGGGAUCACUGGCCCAGCUCUGGGCAACACCCUGGACUGAAGAUGAGCUCCAGGGCCAGCAUGCUUAGCCUUGGUCCUCCUUCCAGGGGUCUCAGGUGAUGGAAGAGGCUGUGGGCUGAAUGAAGGAGUCCUGAGGAAGUGCCCCUGGAGCUGUCCAUGCAGGCCAGCCUCUACUUGUGCCCAGCACCCACUGGGCUCUGGAUGCAUGAGAAAGUGUGACCUUGCCAAGGCCCAGUGGUAGCUGAGAGAGGACACGUUAUCCUCAGGUAUGUGAGUUUUCAAAUAGUUACAAAUUUCUCUAAUUUUUUUAAAAAAUUCUGAAUGUAUAGAAAAUGUUGCUUCUCAGGGAAUGUGUUCCCCUCUGUCUUAUCUUGUGUUCCCCUCUUGCCUCUAGACAUAGAGGCAGUGCCCUGCCUGUCACAGCUUCCAUCAUAAGUCCACCAGGAGCUCAGGCUGCACUGCAAGUAGCAGGCAGAGCCCUGCUCAGUGAGGACAGCCCAGCCAGGGCAGGG